rnacentral:rRNA from 1 species
UACGUAGGGUGCGAGCGUUGUCCGGAAUUAUUGGGCGUAAAGAGCUCGUAGGCGGCCUGUUACGUCUGCUGUGAAAGCCCGGGGCUCAACUCCGGGUCUGCAGUGGAUACGGGCAGGCUAGAGUCCGGCAGGGGAGACUGGAAUUCCUGGUGUAGCGGUGAAAUGCGCAGAUAUCAGGAGGAACACCGGUGGCGAAGGCGGGUCUCUGGGCCGGUACUGACGCUGAGGAGCGAAAGCGUGGGGAGCGAACAGG